UAUUCUAACCGUGCGAAGGUAGCGCAAUCAAUUGCCUUUUAAAUGAAGGCCUGUAUGAAUGGUAUAACGAGGGUCUAGCUGUCUCUUUUUUCUAGUCAGUUAAACUGAUCUGUCCGUGCAGAAGCGGACAUAAAUAUACAAGACGAGAAGACCCUAUGGAGCUUUAGACACUAGCCAACUGUGAAUAAGCGACUGAACUAAACGGUCCCAAAUACCCGCAGUCUCCUGGUAAUGUAGUCUUAGGUUGGGGCGACCACGGGAGAAAAUAAAGCUCCCAAGCAGACAGGGAAAACCCUUAAGCCAAGAGUUGCAACUCUAAGCCGCAAAAUUUUUGACUGAAGUGAUCCGGUUGAAAAACCGAUUAACGAACCAAGUUACCCUAGGGAUAACAGCGCAAUCCCCUCCCAGAGUCCCUAUCGACGAGGGGGUUUACGACCUCGAUGUUGGAUCAGGACAUCCUAAUGGUGCAGCCGCUAUUAAGGGUUCGUUUGUUCAACG
rnacentral:rRNA from 1 species